rnacentral:lncRNA from 1 species
UGAACUACAAAUGGGAAAUUAGCUCCAUUGAUAAAGAAGGGAAUAGACACGGCAAGGACUUGAUUUUUCCACCUAUGCGCUUUCCACUAAGCCACAGUUUCUCUAAUAGUCGUCUGUGGAAUUUACACACGGAGGUGAACAUUUUGUGUGGCUUAAAUUACAUUUCUACACCGGGAACCCUCUUCUCACCAUUUUCUCCAAAAUUGAAGAACAAGACUGUGGGGAAGAAGCAUUUUCUUGGCCAAUUAUGGAAAGAAACGGGCUCAGGAAUCUUCCCCUUCCCUUUAUUUUACCUUCUGUGUUUGUAUCAUCUUCAUUUUUACCCUUUUUCUCAAGUUCUUCUAAUUGACUUAAUGG